rnacentral:tRNA from 1 species
GGCAGCACAAUGGUUAAGCGCUCAGCUGCUACCUGAGAGGUUGGUGGUUCAAACCCACCCGUGCCU